rnacentral:lncRNA from 1 species
AUAUAUAAACAGCAGCAAAUAAAAGAACUGGUUGUUUGGCUGGGUCGAGUUUCUUCUUCCUUGAAUUAGGUUUCAGUUUGCAGGUGUAUUCAUCGUGUAAUAUACCCAAAUCACUUAGGUAUUAUUGUGACGUGUCACGCUUCAAAAUUUCUUCUGAUCGAAAUUAGAUAGGAUCCAUUCCAAUGGGACCCACUUGGAGUAAUUUAAUGGGUGAAUUGAUCAAUUAUUGUAGGGUAGGGAAAAACCUAGGAAUGUAGUUUUUCCGUGAAUGAGUCCGUCUGGUCUUAGGUAUUAUCUGAGUUGAUCAGUCCAGUUCAGUCGUAAAGGAGUCUUCUCUUUGAUCUUUCGUACUUGGAGUCCCUUAGGGUGCGUUUGGUACGCAGACGGGACGGAACGGGACUGGACGGGACGGGACGGAACGGGACGGGACGAGACGGAACGAAGGUGUAAUUUUUGAAAAAUACAUAGGGUAUAUUUGUCUUAAAAUGGUAAAACAGUGUGUUCCACAGACGUGGAACAAACCCGUUCCAGGGGGAGGUGGGGGACGCAAAAACACCCAAAAUCUGUCCCGUGGAACAGCCCGUUCCACCUAUUUUUGGCGUACCAAACGCGGGACGGAACGCCUCGUCCCGUUCCGUCCCGUCCCGUCCCACGUACCAAACGCACCCUUAAGUUCCGCAGAUAGCAAAAGAAGCAACGAGUUUAUAAUUGACAGAGACUGAGUGAUAGAUGCCGGCCUCCAUGCCCUCCACCGUCUAUUUCUCCCGAUCCGACAACGUUUCCUUGUCUUUUCUUACCUGCUUCCUUUCACGCGUGGCAUUGUUUCACAGUCCACACAACCACUAACUCCUCCCCAACCACACCCCCACACACAACAUUAAAGCAAUUAAUGCUCGAUAACUUUCACACUUCUGAGUUUUGACUCAUUCCUCAUAAUUUUACAAGUCCCGAUUCAUAUUAUAUAACAAUUACUAAGUUAGAAAGGUUUAGAUGUUAUGUGUAAAGAUUAGUCUCUUCUACAGAUAUAUAUAGUUGAUGCAUGUGAGAUUUAUAUUUCGUCUAAUGGUCAAAAUCAUCCACUCGCAUCUGAGCGACAAAUUUUUAGCAAAAUCCAUGACUUUGUGUGUAGUUGAAUGAAUUCAUGACACCAGAUUGGCACAUACAAAUACACAAUAAUUUCUCAUUAAACUCUUAAAGUUUAUUAAUCAAGUAUUCUUUCUUUUUUU